GACAGCAGUAGCCGCGGGAAUACAGAGGGUGCGAGCGUUAAUCGGAUUUACUGGGCGUAAAGCGUGCGUAGGCGGCUUCUUAAGUCGGAUGUGAAAUCCCUGAGCUUAACUUAGGAAUUGCAUUCGAUACUGGGAAGCUAGAGUAUGGGAGAGGAUGGUAGAAUUCCAGGUGUAGCGGUGAAAUGCGUAGAGAUCUGGAGGAAUACCGAUGGCGAAGGCAGCCAUCUGGCCUAAUACUGACGCUGAGGUACGAAAGCAUGGGGAGCAAACAGGAUUAGAUACCCCCGUAGUCCCUGUCUCUUAUAC
rnacentral:rRNA from 1 species